rnacentral:rRNA from 1 species
GACGAACGCUGGCGGCGUGCUUAACACGUGCAAGUCGAACGCUGAAGCUUGGUGCUUGCACUGGGUGGAUGAGUGGCGAACGGGUGAGUAAUACGUGAGUAACCUGCCCUUGACUCUGGGAUAAGCCUGGGAAACUGGGUCUAAUACUGGAUACGACAUGUCACCGCAUGGUGGUGUGUGGAAAGGGUUUUACUGGUUUUGGAUGGGCUCACGGCCUAUCAGCUUGUUGGUGGGGUAAUGGCUCACCAAGGCGACGACGGGUAGCCGGCCUGAGAGGGUGACCGGCCACACUGGGACUGUGACACGGCCCAGACUCCUACGGGAGGCAGCAGUGGGGAAUAUUGCACAAUGGGCGGAAGCCUGAUGCAGCGACGCCGCGUGAGGGAUGACGGCCUUCGGGUUGUAAACCUCUUUCAGCACGGAAGAAGCGAAAGUGACGGUACGUGCAGAAGAAGCGCCGGCUAACUACGUG